rnacentral:siRNA from 1 species
GUGGGUGAACUGUGGUUUUGUCAC